rnacentral:lncRNA from 1 species
GCCAAGUUAUAUUCACCAGCCAUCACAUCUCAGCCACUAGGGAGUUAAACUUAAACUCCUUUUACAAGCUUAAAUAUAACUAUUCUUUAAUAAUUCUUUACUUUGUAGGUAUGUGAUUUAUAUCCUUUAAGGGAAGGAAAUUACUCAAGAGGAUAGAAAAAAUAGUACAUUAAAUGAAGACAAAUACAUCGGGUGCUCGUGAUCCAGCAAACGUGCUGCUGUGGUUCUAGUCAGAUGUGGGUUUCACUCUCAGCUUGCCUUUGACUUGCUGCAUUCCCUGAGAUGAGAUGCUGUUCAGUUGCUGUCAUUCUGCCAAUGUAUGCCUUUCCAUCGCAUUCAAACCUGCACUCCUAGGAUCAGGCAUUUGCAAGAAGAUGAACGUUUCUUUGGAAGUACAUUAAGCAAAAGAAACUUAGGGCGCAUCACUUUCACAGACUGCCUCUCCAACACCCCCAUUCCUGCUCUGCACUAGGUACAAAGGAAGACCUGUAAACCCCAAAGGCAAUGGGGAUGCAAUGAGUUUUGUCUGGUCAUUUUAAAGCAGGGCUUCUGUGAGUCCUGUGUCUCACUGUGUUCCUGGAGCCAUAAUCAGGCCGGGAAGCAAUUUCUGGAUGUAGCUGUGUUAGGGGGACAUUUGGUUUGUUGCAAC